CCUGGUAGCUCAGACUGUUAAAGAACCUGCCUGCAAUGCAGGGGACCAGGGUUCAAUCCCUGGGUCAGGA
rfam:Ovis aries breed Texel chromosome 12, whole genome shotgun sequence.